GGAGACGUAUCGAAGUGGUCAUAACGAGCCUGACUCGAAAUCAGGUUGUCGCGCAAGCGGCACGUGAGUUCGAAUCUCACCGUCUCCGCCA
rnacentral:tRNA from 11 species